rnacentral:rRNA from 1 species
CCUACGGGAGGCUGCAGUGGGGAAUAUUGGACAAUGGGGGCAACCCUGAUCCAGCCAUGCCGCGUGUGUGAAGAAGGCCCUCGGGUUGUAAAGCACUUUCAGUGAGGAAGAACGCCUGGUGGUUAAUACCCAUCAGGAAAGACAUCACUCACAGAAGAAGCACCGGCUAACUCCGUGCCAGCAGCCGCGGUAAUACGGAGGGUGCGAGCGUUAAUCGGAAUUACUGGGCGUAAAGCGCGCGUAGGUGGCUUGAUAAGCCGGUUGUGAAAGCCCCGGGAUCAACCUGGGAACGGCAUCCGGAACUGUCAAGCUAGAGUGCAGGAGAGGAAGGUAGAAUUCCCGGUGUAGCGGUGAAAUGCGUAGAGAUCGGGAGGAAUACCAGUGGCGAAGGCGGCCUUCUGGACUGACACUGACACUGAGGUGCGAAAGCGUGGGUAGCAAACAGGAUUAGAUACCCCAGUAGUC